rnacentral:rRNA from 1 species
CCGAGUGGCGGACGGGUGAGUAAUGUCUGGGAAACUGCCUGAUGGAGGGGGAUAACUACUGGAAACGGUAGCUAAUACCGCAUAACGUCGCAAGACCAAAGAGGGGGACCUUCGGGCCUCUUGCCAUCGGAUGUGCCCAGAUGGGAUUAGCUAGUAGGUGGGGUAAAGGCUCACCUAGGCGACGAUCCCUAGCUGGUCUGAGAGGAUGACCAGCCACACUGGAACUGAGACACGGUCCAG